rnacentral:rRNA from 1 species
CAUGCAAGUCGAGGGGAAACGACAUCGAAAGCUUGCUUUUGAUGGGCGUCGACCGGCGCACGGGUGAGUACGCGUAUCCAACCUGCCCACCACUUGGGGAUAACCUUGCGAAAGUAAGACUAAUACCCAAUGAUAUCUCUAGAAGACAUCUGAAAGAGAUUAAAGAUUUAUCGGUGAUGGAUGGGGAUGCGUCUGAUUAGCUGUGGCGGGUAACGGCCCACCAAGGCAACGAUCAGUAGGGGUUCUGAGAGGAAGGUCCCCCACAUUGGAACUGAGACACGGUCCAAACUCCUACGGGAGGCAGCAGUGAGGAAUAUUGGUCAAUGGGCGAGAGCCUGAACCAGCCAAGUAGCGUGCAGGACGACGGCCCUAUGGGUUGUAAACUGCUUUUAUAAGGGAAUAAAGUGAGUCUCGUGAGACUUUUUGCAUGUACCUUAUGAAUAAGGACCGGCUAAUUCCGUG